rnacentral:misc_RNA from 1 species
GUCGGUGUCAACCCCUCUUUUUAGUUUUUCUUUGAUUUCUCAUGACAGGAGUCUUAAUCAUCUUUAAUAAGUGACAGAUAUAAAAUAAACGAAGGACUCUAAGGCUAAGGCAAAGGCAGGCACUGCAUUGUUUUUCANNNNNNNNUCUUCUCUUUGCCAGUGACCAACUGCCCAUACCCUGGAUUAGAGGACACACACACACGCACACACACAUCAUGUCAUCUCUUUCAGCGCGAACGGGCAGACACAAACAACGUUACCAAGAUCAACUCAGGCUCGUAGCAGGGUGCAUUCCUUAUAAACUUGACAAGAACGUUGAGGAUAAAAACUGUAGGGUGG